GACGAACGCUGGCGGCGUGCUUAACACAUGCAAGUCGAACGGAAAGGCCCUGCUUGCAGGGUACUCGAGUGGCGAACGGGUGAGUAACACGUGGGUGAUCUGCCCUGCACUUCGGGAUAAGCCUGGGAAACUGGGUCUAAUACCGGAUAGGAGCCAUUUUUAGUGUGAUGGUUGGAAAGUUUUUUCGGUGUAGGAUGAGCUCGCGGCCUAUCAGCUUGUUGGUGGGGUAAUGGCCUACCAAGGCGGCGACGGGUAGCCGGCCUGAGAGGGUGGACGGCCACAUUGGGACUGAGGGGAGGCCCAGACUCCGAAGGGAGGAAGAAGUGGGGAAUAUUGCACAAUGGGCGCAAGCCUGAUGCAGCGACGCCGCGUGGGGGAUGACGGCCUUCGGGUUGUAAACUCCCUUCGCUAGGGACGAAGCUUUUUGUGACGGUACCUAGAUAAGAAGCACCGGCUAACUACGUG
rnacentral:rRNA from 1 species